rnacentral:lncRNA from 10 species
GUAAACUACGCGGACUUGGUCUUUCACCCUUCCUGUUCCUCCCCGCCGCCUUCCCGGUCCAACGAAAGUACAGAGAAGUGCGGCCGAAAGGAGACGGGCUGGGGAAGUCGUUGGCACUAGGAUGGAAGGAGGGAGGACGUUUUCUCGUGGCUAAGAAAAGCCGAAGGUCCGUGGACUCAUUUUCCUUGAAGGAGCGGAAGGGUUGCUUGCAGACCGCACGGUGACGUCAGCGUCUCUGGGCCCCCACUGAGGGGGCGUGCGGUGGCCGGAGAGUGCGCUGCGCAUGCGCCUGGGGAAGAAAGAAGCGGCCGAGCGCUGCGCUUGGGGGAGGGGAUUUCACGAUCCGCUCCUGUGGUCCAGCUUUACAGCAGCUUGGUUUUAUCUAGCCCUACUCGUCCCCAGGCUCUUAGAAGGAUUCACUGGGAAGGGGCUACUGAUCUCUUGGGUGGAGAUCUUGCAGAUUUGUUGACCUAGCAAAGUAUUACGUGUUCUUACCGUUGACAUGUAAAUAGAAUUGCGGUUUUUCUCACUGCCACAUUGUGUGGGUGGAGGGAGAUUCUAAAGGGUUUUAGGAAUCGGAAAAUUAGGGAGAAUCAAAUCAUGGGUGCUUAAGGCCUCAGUGAAACACUGUAAAUUAUACUGCUGACGGCGAGGAACCUGCUUGGCAAUGUGGCAAGGGGAUUUUAUCCACUCAACCAACACGUCUGAGUAUUUCCGAAUAGGUUUUAUUACCAGGUGCUUAAAGAAUGUGUGGUGACAUAAAUGGGUUUUAUUUGGGGUUCUGUUAGUACAAACGGUAACUUUUUGCUAUUUUGAUUGUUUUAAUUAUUUAAAAAUAUGUAGUAUUACAGAGUUUUGAAAGAGGAAGAGCUAGAUCUCAACCAUUUA